GAUUAUUAGCUCUUCAAAACUUGAAAGGUUGUGUGUUUAUAAUUGUGUGCAUGAUGGGGUUGAAUCAAGAUGGUUGGCACCACAUUUGAAAGCAAUUAAGACUCUUUGGUUGUGUGGCUCUUCCUUGUUGGAUAUUAAUGUAUCUGU